rnacentral:rRNA from 1 species
GGGCAGCUACACAUGCAGUCGAGCGGUAGAGAGAAGCUUGCUUCUCUUGAGAGCGGCGGACGGGUGAGUAAUGCCUAGGAAUCUGCCUGGUAGUGGGGGAUAACGUUCGGAAACGGACGCUAAUACCGCAUACGUCCUACGGGAGAAAGCAGGGGACCUUCGGGCCUUGCGCUAUCAGAUGAGCCUAGGUCGGAUUAGCUAGUUGGUGAGGUAAUGGCUCACCAAGGCGACGAUCCGUAACUGGUCUGAGAGGAUGAUCAGUCACACUGGAACUGAGACACGGUCCAGACUCCUACGGGAGGCAGCAGUGGGGAAUAUUGGACAAUGGGCGAAAGCCUGAUCCAGCCAUGCCGCGUGUGUGAAGAAGGUCUUCGGAUUGUAAAGCACUUUAAGUUGGGAGGAAGGGUUGUAGAUUAAUACUCUGCAAUUUUGACGUUACCGACAGAAUAAGCACCGGCUAACUCUGUGCCAGCAGCCGCGGUAAUACAGAGGGUGCAAGCGUUAAUCGGAAUUACUGGGCGUAAAGCGCGCGUAGGUGGUUUGUUAAGUUGGAUGUGAAAUCCCCGGGCUCAACCUGGGAACUGCAUUCAAAACUGACUGACUAGAGUAUGGUAGAGGGUGGGUGGAAUUUCCUGUGUAGCGGUGAAAUGCGUAGAUAUAGGAAGGAACACCAGUGGCGAAAGCGACCACCUGGACUAAUACUGACACUGAGGUGCGAAAGCGUGGGGAGCAAACAGGAUUAGAUACCCUGGUAGUCCACGCCGUAACGAUGUCAACUAGCCGUUGGAAGCCUUGAGCUUUUAGUGGCGCAGCUACGCAUUAAGUUGACCGCCUGGGGAGUACGGCCGCAAGGUUAAACUCAAUGAAUUGACGGGGCUCGCACAAGCGGUGGAGCAUGUGGUUUAUUCGAGCACGCGAGAAUCUUUACAAGUCUGACAUCCAUGACUUUCUAGAGAUAGAUGGUGCUCGGACAUUGAGACAGUGCUGCAUGCUGUCGUCAGCUCUGUCCUGAGCAUGUGGUAGUUCCGGUAACGAGCGCAUCUUGUCUUAGUUACAGCACGUCAGGCUGCACUCUAGAACUGCAGUACUAUCGACGAAAGGUGGG